rnacentral:rRNA from 1 species
CUGGUUGAUUCUGCCAGUAAUCAUAUGCUUGUCUCAAAGAUUAAGCCAUGCAUGUCUAAGUACAAACUCUAGCACAGUGAAACUGCGAAUGGCUCAUUAGAUCAGUUAUGGUUCCUUAGAUGAUACAAUCCUACUUGGAUAACUGUGGUAAUUCUAGAGCUAAUACAUGCACUAAAGCUCCGACCCUUUCUGAGGGGAAGAGCGCGUUUAUCAGUUCGAAGCCAGCCGAGCCGCAAGGCUUGCCUCUUUGGUGACUCUGGAUAACUCUAGCGGAUCGCACGGCCUCGAGCCGGCGACGCAUCUAUCAAGUGUCUGCCCUAUCAGACUGUCGAUGGUAAGUGCUAUGCUUACCAUGGUGAUAACGGGUAACGGGGAAUCAGGGUUCGAUUACGGAGAAGGAGCCUGAGAAACGGCUACCACAUCCAAGGAAGGCAGCAGGCGCGCAAAUUACCCAAUCUCGAUACGAGGAGGUAGUGACGAAAAAUAACAAUACGGGACUCUUUCGAGGCCCCGUAAUUGGAAUGAGUGUACUCUAAACGUGUGCACGAGGAUCUAUUGGAGGGCAAGUCUGGUGCCAGCAGCCGCGGUAAUUCCAGCUCCAAUAGCGUAUAUUAAAGCUGUUGUGGUUAAAAAGCUCGUAGUUGGAUCUCAGGGUCGUUCGCGUCGGUCCCUUGCUGCAAUGGCUCGGGUACUGCGCGGUGUCGUCCCCCUUGCCAGACCUCUCAAAAAGGUUGCUCUUGACUGAGUGGCCUGCUCGAGUGGCUGGAGAGUUUACUUUGAAAAAAUUAGAGUGUUCAAAGCAGGCACAGCCCGCCUGUAUAAUGGUGCAUGGAAUAAUGGAAUAGGACCCCGGAUCCUAUUUUGCUGGUUUUUGGAGCUCAGGGGUAAUGAUUAAGAGGAACAGGGCGGGGGCAUCCGUAUUACGGCGUUAGAGGUGAAAUUCUUGGAUCGUCGUAAGACGCCCUACAGCGAAAGCAUUUGCCAAGUAUGUUUUCAUUAAUCAAGAACGAAAGUCAGAGGUUCGAAGACGAUCAGAUACCGUCGUAGUUCUGACCGUAAACUAUGCCAACUGGCAGCCCGUCGGCGUUGCUCUAUUCGACUCGGCGGGAGGCCUACCCGAAAGGAAAGUCUACGGGUUCCAGGGGGAAGUAUGGUUGCAAAGCUGAAACUUAAAGGAAUUGACGG